CCCCCGAGCGCCUCCAGGGGAGUUCGCUCCGGGACCAG
rnacentral:misc_RNA from 1 species